rnacentral:rRNA from 1 species
UACGUAGGGCGCGAGCGUUGUCCGGAAUUAUUGGGCGUAAAGAGCUCGUAGGCGGCCUGUUGCGUCCGCCGUGAAAUCCCAGGGCUCAACCCUGGGGCGUGCAGUGGAUACGGGCAGGCUGGAGGCAGGCAGGGGAGAACGGAAUUCCCGGUGUAGCGGUGAAAGUGCGCAGAUAUCGGGGAGGAACACCUGUGGCGAAAGCGGCUCAC